rnacentral:lncRNA from 1 species
GGUUUCUCUACCUUCAUUGUUGUUAUUGUUGCCUUUUCUUCAUAACCUUCUUAUGUACUGUAACUGUCCGAUUUCCAAUUUUUGUUUCUCAACUACACAACGAACUGAGAUACGUCUGUUCAAGAUGAAGCACCUUCCAGAGCACUUUUUCCACAUCGCUUAAUUACUUUUCCUUCUUCUCUGAGCGUUUUUCCCAAAAUCUCCAAUUUCGUUUCAUUGCUUUCUCUCUCUCCUUCAAGUUUUUUAUUAGAUCCUCACUGCCCUUCCAAUCCGUCUAUCUCCGAUCUCUUCCUCUCAUCUUCCAUCUCCUGAGGAAGGUUGAAUCUGCUAUUUACAGCUGGUGAUUCAAGGUUGUUGUCGUAACCACAGUGGCAGCAAUUGUAUCCACGACUAGAUGAAUGGAAGCAUGCAGAGGAGAUCUAAACUCCUGCUAUCGUAGACCCCGAUAUGUCUAACGGAGAAGCAAACGAAAUAAGCAAAAAGGGUGGGAUUUCGUUUGGUCGGUGGUGAGGCUCGUGGUUGCUUCCUAUGUGAAGUUUCUUGAAAAUGUGCUUCAUCAUCCUUCCACCAGAUUUUCGAAUUCGCUUCUCCUCAAAACUAAAUUUAAAGGAGGUUAAGCUUGAUAAUAUCUUUACUCCUAUUUUCUUGCGAGUUUCCCAUCUGAUUGUUUCUUUUUUUUUUCUUUCUCCGUUCAACAGAGAGGGAGAAAGAAGACAAGUGCAAAGGAGAAAUUGAAGCUCCAAUGAAUGAUGGGGAGUUGAGGUGAAGUAUUUUUCUUGUAAAUCUCAACAUAGUUGAUCAUGAAAUGCAUCUCUCUCUCUCUGUUUUAUAUUUGAUGGUUAGAGUUUAGCCCAGUGGUGUUCUUUGCUGUUGUGUUUUUUGCGGUCUGCAGCUUUAUGUUAUUGGCUUGCAGCCUGCUGUGUGGAGUUAUUUCCGUUUUAAUCUUCCUUUUGUCGUAGCCAACUGUGUUGUGUGGGCUUCUAGCUGCAGAGCUACUUCGGCUAUACUCCCAUGAGCAGAGCUCAAAAUAUUGACCGACUUGCAUGAAAACGAGGUCACUAUUACUAAAUUUCCAUUUGCACUUGAAUGACAGAAUUCAUUGGCGUCAUUUUUAUUUAAUUUUUCAGUCAUGGAAAGAAGGAUAGUUUACAACAUGAUUAAACCAAAAUAAUUGCUGAAGCUUUGGAUAUGACUUAGGAGAUAAAUGAAGAUGCUAUGAAAAAUAAUAUGUACUUUUUAUUGAAUUUCUUUUUCUAUAAGCAAGAUCCUAGCUUCGUUUUCUUACAAACACUCUUUUACCAUUUUUUUACAGCUCCUAGGAGUGUGGUUAGAAGGCCUCCACUCUUUAUCAACCAACUUAACUCUCAAUAAUUUAUUUCAUAUUUCCCCUCGUGUUAUUAGCAUCCAUGUCAUUGGGUACUCUCAAAAGAAAUAAACCUAUAAAAAUCAAAUCUCUAAUUAUUGUUGACAAGUUCAUGUAGCAUUUCAGUAAUGGAUAUUUGAUUUUGGUGGUUGAUCAUUAAUCUCGGUAGUUUCUUGGCUUUUGGUUCUUUUGUCAGAAUAUACUUUACCACCAGGAUAUAUGAAGUUGAUAUCAGUUUAGUUGGAUUUACUUGACGAAUCUAAAAGACGAAAUCUAGACAUCAAAUUAAAUAUACAAUGCCAACAUAUCCUCAAAUACUAUGUUAGGCUUUUUUUUUUGUUUAUAUGUUUUCUGUUUCAUAAUUAUAUAACACAAAUUUCAAAUAGUAUUAUCUAAAUUAACAUCAUUCUAAUUAAACAAUUAAGUUUAUUUAUUUUUAAUAAAUACAUACUUUAUUUAAUUAAAAUAAAAUAUCUAUAAAAUAGAGUUGUCUCAUAUUACAACUUAAUUUUAGGUUAUAUACUUUUUCCGACGAUAUGAAUUCUUAUAUAAAAUAUAUUUUAUUUACGUUUAUAAUUUUAGGUAUAUGAUGUCUAAAUUUUAAGAUUUUAAACUACUGUUUAAUUCUAUAUAAAACCCGUAUUAGCCGGUUUACUUAUUAAUUUAUCUGAUUGUUUCCAAGAUAUAGGGACCAAUAGUGAGCGAGAGAAAAA